AUCAAUCCACCUAGCUCAACCAAUCAACCAAAACACAACAAACUAAAUUAUACUACCUACUAAACAACUAAAACAUUAGCACCCUUAUAAACCUUAGUAUAGGAGAUAGAAAAGAUUACUCACUGAAGCUAUAGAGACAGUACCGCAAGGGAAAAAUGAAAGACUAAAGCAAAAAAAAGCAAAGAUUAAUCCUUGUACCUCUUGCAUUAUGAUUUAGCCAGCAAUACCUAAGCAAAGAGAACUAAAGUCUAAAACCCCGAAACUAAGUGAGCUACUUAAAGGCAGCUAACAUCUAACCUAAAACUAUAAUCAUCUCUGUGGCAAAAGAGUGACAAGACCCUUAAGUAGAGGUGAAAAACCUAACGAACUCAGUGAUAGCUGGUUGCUCAAUAAAUGAGUAUAAGCUCAACCCUAAACAAUUCAAAAAACAACUAAAAGUUUAUAAGAAAAAUUUAGGAGCCAUUCAAUUAGGGUACAGCCAAAUUGAAACAGGAAAAACCUAAAAUAAAGGACAAGACACCAAACUAAAAUUAAACGUAGGCCCUAAAGCAGCCACCACCAAAAGAAAGCGUCAAAGCUCCACCCUUAAAAAUAUAAACAAUAAUCAACUCCUUAAACAACACUGAGCCAUUCUACUAAAAUAGAAGAACUUAUGCUAAAAUGAGUAACAAGAAGACAAACUUCUCUUUUACGCCAGUCUAAAUCAGAAUAGAUAAACUACUGAUUAUUAACAGUCAUCAUAAAAACAAUAACACUAAACAUAACAUAUAAUACAAACUGUUAACCCGACACAGGAACGUUAAAAUAAGAAAGAUUAAAAUCUGUAAAAGGAACUAAGCAAACAAAGAGCCCGACUGUUUACCAAAAACAUAGCCCCUAGCAACAAUAAGUAUAGGGUGAUGCCUGCCCAGUGACACAGUUUCAACGGCCAUGGUAUCCUGACCGUGCGAAGGUAGCAUAAUCACUUGUCUCUUAAAUAGGGACUGGAAUGAAUGGCUAAACGAGGCCCUACCUGUCUCUCACAAAUAAUCAGUGAAAUUGGUAUUCUCGUGCAAAAGCGAGAAUAAUAAUAUAAGACGAGAAGACCCUGUGGAACUUAAAGUUAUAGCCAGUCAAGCACACAACAUUAAUCACCCUAAACCCCCUUAAACCUGGCUAAAACUUUAGGUUGGGGAGACCUUGGAGUAAAACAAAACCUCCAAAAAGAACCUAGUUCUUACUUAGAUCAACAACUCAAAGUGCUAACAGCAAAACGAUCCAAUUAUUGAUCAACGGAACAAGCUACCCCAGGGAUAACAGCGCAAUCUCAUUCUAGAGUCCCUAUCGACAAUGAGGUUUACGACCUCGAUGUUGGAUCAGGACAUCCUAAUGGUGCAGCAGCUAUUAAGGGUUCGUUUGUUCAACGAUUAAUAGUCCUACGUGAUCUGAGUUCAGACCGGAGCAAUCCAGGUCGGUUUCUAUCUAUAACUUAGUCUUUUCCAGUACGAAAGGACAAAAAAGACAAGGUCCAUAUUAAAAACAAACCUUACCCCAAAGCCAAUGAAUCAAACUCAACUGGCAAUGGGAAAACCACAAAGCCCGAAAAAAGGGCUUUUUUUGC
rnacentral:rRNA from 1 species